UACGAAGGGGGCUAGCGUUGCUCGGAAUCACUGGGCGUAAAGCGCACGUAGGCGGACUCUUAAGUCGGGUGUGAAAUCCCGGGGCUCAACCCCGGAACUGCAUUCGAUACUGGCAGGCUAGAGACCGGAAGAGGUGGGUGGAAUACCCAGUGUAGAGGUGAAAUUCGUAGAUAUUGGGUGGAACACCGGUGGCGAAGGCGGCUCACUGGUCCGGUUCUGACGCUGAGGCGCGAAAGCGUGGGGAGCAAACAGG
rnacentral:rRNA from 1 species